UGCACCAUUCACCUCCGACAUCGUAUACCUUAUUUUUAGUGAUGUGCCUAUUAGCAUUGCUGCGCAAAUUUAGUGGCUUCCACCAACAAUCAUUUAUUUGCCCAUAAUGUUGUGGGUUGGCAAUCUGGGCUGGGCUAGGCUGGGCCAUUCUUCAGCUGUCUUGCCUGAGCUCACUCAUGGCCACACCUGCACCUGGCAGCUCAGCUGGAACUGGAUGGUCGAGGACGACCUCGCUCACCUGUCUGGUGGUUGAUUGGCUGAAGGCUGGGGUGCCAUGUUUCUCCAUCAGAGCUUGGGCUCGUUCAAACUGCUAUCUCAGAGUUCCAAGUACAGCAGAGAAAGAGCAAGCCUCAAUGUGCAAGCACUUUUCUAGCCUCUCUUUGCCUUACGUAUGCUUACAUCCCAUUGGCCAAAGCAAAUCACAUGGCCAAGUCCAGAUUCAGGGAGUGGAGAAAUAGACUUCACUCUUAAAGGCAGGGUCUGCAAUGAAUUUGUGGCCAUUUUUUUGCAUUCUACUGCAAGUUUCAUUUUACUGCUGCUGCUGGAGGGACGGGACCAUCUUUGCCUUGUUUACAUUGUAGCUUGAAGAAAAUGCGGCUUCUACUCCUUGCAUAAUAUCCUGAGUGUCCUAUAGGGAGGUCAACUUUGUUUCAGAGAGAGGAACUCGCCUCUCGAGUUGAUGUGGCAGGGAAUGAGAAACCGUAAGAUCUAAGAGGUGUGGGGAGAGUAGGGAGAAGAUAGAAAGGAAUAGAAAUGAUGCAGGUGGAAACUGUGUGUGGGAAUGCGUGGAUAUACAUACACAUGAGGUGAGAGAUGAAUGAGCUUGGAUUUCAGUGUUAACCAGUUUUAGUUUUUUGAGGGCAAAGGAGGAUUUUGAACAAUUUUAGACUUUUAUAAAUUAUUUUCCCAAGUCCACACCAGGUUGCGGGGUAAGAUAGAGUCAAAAGCGUUAUCACAAAGCAUUCUUUCUUUGGCAGGACCUUUCAAGGUGCCUUCUUUUAUUUCUGGCAGUCCCCGAGGGGCAUCUCAAAGGUUCUCACAAUCACAAUCUUCUUAGCUACGAUGUGGUGUCUACCAUUUUUCCCUGCUUCGGUUCCCUGCAGGGAUGUCAGCUGCUGAGGCUGCUGAUGCUGGCAAAUGCCCUUUGAAGAUUCUGGGGAUACUCAGAUGCUGAUGCAGGCUUUGUCUCCCACCAGUGAUGAAAGUGCUGGCACCAGCAUUGCUGGGUCUGCAGGUGCCCCUUUGUGUUCUUAGAGCCUUGUAAAGGUUUUCCUACAAUAGCCACCCAUAGAUUUACUGGCUAUUAUAUUUGGUUCCUUGACUCCAUUGCCUGAGUUCUCUUGUGGUAUUUCUUUAAUUUCUCAUGCAAAUAGAGCUGUGAUGGGCCUGCUUCACAGGUCCUUCAUAUAAACAUUGUAUCAAUUACAUACUGUCAUGAAAUACUGUGUAGCAAAUAACCACAAAGCCUCUCAAGUCUAUGGGUCACCUGAGUGGCUAUGACUUGCAGAUCUAACUGUGGUCAGCUUGGCUGUGCUCUGUGACCCGUCUUAGGGGCUUAGCUUAAGAGAUGUGGCUCCAUUUCAUGUCAUCUCUCAUCCUCCCGUGGGCAAGCUCAGGUUUGUUGUCCUAGCAGUGGGAGGGUUCCAAGAGGGAGAGCACACGCUUAAAGCCUCUUGAGGCCCAGGGUCAGAAUCUCCACAACGUCUCUUCUACUGUUCAAAGUCAGUCACCAGGCCAGCCCAGAUUCAAGGGGUAAAGAAAUAGCCUUGAUCUCUUGAUGGUAGGAGCUGCAAAAUCACAUCACAAGGGACAUGGAAACAGGGAAGGGCAGAGAAUCGGAGCCAUCUUUGCAACCAAUUUAACUUUCACACACCCAGACACCUCUGAGGCCUAGGGUGAGCACAGGUUGGCAACCGAAACAAUGUUAAAUGCAUUUUAGAAAGAUACAUUUGGUGAUCCUUCUAAACAGGUGGAAGACAAAUUGAUUUGGGUAAUGGUAGGGGAGGUUGGUGUAACCAGCAAAAUGGCUUUUGGCUUAAUAUAAGUGAUAAAUCAGGAGGGUCUAGAACAGGGAUAGCAAAUAGCUUGCACACUGUGAUUGAAUUGCAGUAAAUGCCUGGAGUGGGGUGUUGAGGAGAAUUAUGUGGCCACUUUCCUGGGGGAGCUGAACACAGAGCCUUGAUGGAUUGGCCAUGUUCACCAUGGUCACUGAAGGGUGGAAUGACAACACAGGACCAGGUGUUUGCUAGUUUUGUCCUACCAAAGGCAGUAAAGUGAUAUCGAAGAGUCUUUUGAAAUUAAUUAGGAGGCAGAAUUAAAAAUUGUUGGUGAUCAAGUGCAAAUGAAGGAAAACUAUUAUUCUAGAUAAUCUUAGAUUUGAGAUUUGAGUACUAGAUGAGUGAUAAUGUCACUUCUUAAAGCACAUCAUAUUCUAAAGGAGUAGAUUUGAGUCUGUAUUAUACAGGUCAGUCUUGUAUCUUACUGCAUAAGGAGUACAUUUUUUUCUGUCACCUAUUGGUGCCUAACAAACCACCCAAAAGCUUAGAAGCCAUGAUGAUUAAUUUUAUAUGUCAACUUGACUGGACCACAGGAUGCCUGGAUAUUUGGUCAAACAUUCUUCUGGGUGUUUCUGGAUGAGAUUAACAGCUUUAUUGGUAGACUGAGUCGAGCAGAUUGCCCUCCCAAUGUGGUGGGCCUCAUCUGAUCAGCUGAAAGCCUGUGUAAAACAAAACAGCUGGUUUUCUCUGAGUCAGAGAGAAUUCCUUCUGCUUAAUGGCCUUCGAACUGGGACAUCGACUUUUUCUUUCCUUUGGACUCAAGCUGAAACAUCCCUCUUUCUGGGUCAUGAACUUCUUGGCCUUUCAACUGGAAUUACACCAUCAGUCCUGUUGGUUUUCAAGCUAUUGGACUCAGACUGGAAUGAUACCACUGGUUCUCCUGGGUCUCCAGCUUGCCCGUUCACCUUGCAGAUCCUGGGACUUGUCAGUCUCCAUAAUUGCAUGAUCCAAUUCC
rnacentral:lncRNA from 1 species